CGCGCUUGCAGAGCUGCUGUUUCCCGGUGGCCCUGAGCCCAGCGUGCUUGCCAGAUGGGACGUGUGUUUCUCUCCCUUUCAGGAGAAGCAGAGCUCGGAGCCCACCAGAGGUCUUCAAAAGUCAACAGAAAACAUCGAGGGCUGGAACCCAGGUGUCCCCUCUGGUUGACUUUCUCCCAAAGGUAUGUAGUGCAUAAAAGACCCUGAGAAGUCAUGCAACAAAGAAACUGUCUAUCUUUGUUUAGCUCAGUGCUUCUAGAACUUAAUUGAGGAAAUAAAUACUCCUUUCUAUCGAUACACACACAAGAUAAACACAUAUGCUUUUAUAAUAUACUGCUUGUAUAUGGAGAGAAAUACAGAGAAAGAAGGUUUCACGUCAGAUGCACACAUAUGUACUGUCAGAACUGCUGCCAUCUAGCCCCUUGCAGGAGUGGACGCGUUAGGGUAAACCAAGAGUUCACACGAAGCUCAAAUUGCAGCUUGCUGGCAGAAAGGAAAACAGGAGAGCAAGGCUAGCAGACACACUAUUUAAUUUUUUGCCCAGCACCUCUUUUCUAGGAACUGCUUCAACCCACUCACUCACCACCCAAGUAGUCAUGGUAAAAAUGCCACGUCUCUGUACUCUGGGGUCCCCGCCCUCACAGCUGUAGUCAACUUGUACCUGAUUAGCCGUCUCUACUAAGACUAGCCAGCUAGUUACCUCCCUAGGCAUGCUGGACCCAUGACUGAAAGACCGCGAGGAAAAUAAUAAACAUGGCCCUGAGAGAGGAGCUAAGCGAAAGCACAUGCC